GACGAACGCUGGCGGCGUGCCUAAUACAUGCAAGUCGAACGAACCGCGACUAGGUGCUUGCACUUGGUCAAGGUGAGUGGCGAACGGGUGAGUAACACGUGGGUAACCUACCUCAUAGUGGGGGAUAACAGUCGGAAACGACUGCUAAUACCGCAUAGGACAUAGGAUCACAUGAUUCUGUGAGGAAAGGUGGCGCAAGCUAUCGCUAAGAGAUGGACCCGCGGUGCAUUAGCUAGUUGGUAGGGUAAAGGCCUACCAAGGCGAUGAUGCAUAGCCGACCUGAGAGGGUGAUCGGCCACAUUGGGACUGAGACACGGCCCAAACUCCUACGGGAGGCAGCAGUAGGGAAUCUUCCGCAAUGGACGCAAGUCUGACGGAGUAACGCCGCGUGAGUGAAGAAGGUCUUCGGAUCGUAAAGCUCUGUUGUUAGAGAAGAACAGCGCAUAGAGUAACUGUUAUGCGUGUGACGGUAUCUAACCAGAAAGCCACGGCUAACUACGUG
rnacentral:rRNA from 1 species